GCCCGGGUGGCUCAGUCAGUUGAGCGUCCGACUUCAGCUCGGGUCGUGAUCUCACGGUUCGUGGGUUCGAGCCCCACGUCGGACU
rnacentral:tRNA from 1 species